UGGGGAAUAUUGCACAAUGGAGGGAACUCUGAUGCAGCGACGCCGCGUGAACGAAGAAGGCUUUCGAGUCGUAAAGUUCUUUUAUAUGGGAAGAUAAUGACGGUAUCAUAAGAAAAAGCCCCGGCUAACUACGUGCCAGCAGCCGCGGUAAUACGUAGGGGGCUAGCGUUGUCCGGAAUCACUGGGCGUAAAGGGUUCGCAGGCGGAAAUGCAAGUCAGGUGUAAAAGGCAGUAGCUUAACUACUGUAAGCAUUUGAAACUGCAUAUCUUGAGAAGAGUAGAGGUAAGUGGAAUUUUUUGUGUAGCGGUGAAAUGCGUAGAUAUUAAAAAGAAUACCGGUGGCGAAGGCGACUUACUGGGCUCAUUCUGACGCUGAGGAACGAAAGCGUGGGUAGCAAACAGG
rnacentral:rRNA from 1 species